UACGUAGGGGGCAAGCGUUAUCCGGAAUCAUUGGGCGUAAAGCGCGUGUAGGCGGUUCCGUAAGUCCGCUCAUGAAAGCCCAGGGCUCAACCCUGGGAGGCGGGUGGAUACUACGGAACUGGAGUACGGAAGAGGAGAUUGGAAUUCCUGGUGUAGCGGUGAAAUGCGCAGAUAUCAGGAGGAACACCAACAGCGAAGGCAGAUCUCUGGGACGUUACUGACGCUGAGACGCGAAAGCGUGGGGAGCAAACAGG
rnacentral:rRNA from 1 species